UUUCAUUGGACAGCAACAGCCUAUAUGUGAAUGGUUACCAUGAAGGAAUUCCUUCAACCACUGCAACAACGCCAACUAUCACCCGGUCGUCUCUGACGCAGUCAAAGACACCACCAGUUUCAUCUACGUCAACACACAUGACAGUAACAUCGCUUGCUACUACAUUCACAGUCAGUGUAACAGCUUCACAAGACACAGAGACUCC